rnacentral:rRNA from 1 species
GGGUUGUGAGGUUAAGCGACCAAGCGUACACGGUGGAUGCCCUGGCAGUCAGAGGCGAUGAAGGACGUGCUAAUCUGCGAAAAGCGCCGGUAAGGUGAUAUGAACCGUUAUAGCCGGCGAUGUCCGAAUGGGGAAACCCAGUGUGACUCGUCACACUAUCAUUAACUGAAUCCAUAGGUUAAUGAGGCGAACCGGGGGAACUGAAACAUCUAAGUACCCCGAGGAAAAGAAAUCAACCGAGAUUCCCCCAGUAGCGGCGAGCGAACGGGGAGGAGCCCAGAGCCUGAAUCAGCAUGUGUGUUAGUGGAAGCGUCUGGAAAGGCGCGCGAUACAGGGUGAGAGCCCCGUACACAAAAGCGCACGUGCUGUGAGCUCGAUGAGUAGGGCGGGACACGUGGUAUCCUGUCUGAAUAUGGGGGGACCAUCCUCCAAGGCUAAAUACUCCUGACUGACCGAUAGUGAACCAGUACCGUGAGGGAAAGGCGAAAAGAACCCCGGCGAGGGGAGUGAAACAGAACCUGAAACCGUGUACGUAC